rnacentral:rRNA from 1 species
UACGUAGGGGGCAAGCGUUGUCCGGAUUCAUUGGGCGUAAAGAGCGUGUAGGCGGCCAGUUAGGUCGGUUGUGAAAACUGGAGGCUCAACCUUCAGAGGUCGACCGAAACCAUCUGGCUAGAGUCCGGGAGAGGAGAGUGGAAUUCCUGGUGUAGCGGUGAAAUGCGCAGAUAUCAGGAAGAACACCCGUGGCGAAAGCGGCUCUCUGGAACGGUACUGACGCUGAGACGCGAAAGCGUGGGGAGCGAACAGG